AUGAACGCUGGCGGCGGGCCUAAUACAUGCAAGUCGAGCGAACAGACGAGGAGCUUGCUCCUCUGACGGUAGCGGCGGACGGGUGAGUAACACGUGGAUAACCUACCUAUAAGACUGGGAUAACUUCGGGAAACCGGAGCUAAUACCGGAUAAUAUAUUGAACCGCAUGGUUCAAUAGUGAAAGACGGUUUUGCUGUCACUUAUAGAUGGAUCCGCGCCGCAUUAGCUAGUUGGUAAGGUAACGGCUUACCAAGGCAACGAUGCGUAGCCGACCUGAGAGGGUGAUCGGCCACACUGGAACUGAGACACGGUCCAGACUCCUACGGGAGGCAGCAGUAGGGAAUCUUCCGCAAUGGGCGAAAGCCUGACGGAGCAACGCCGCGUGAGUGAUGAAGGUCUUCGGAUCGUAAAACUCUGUUAUUAGGGAAGAACAAAUGUGUAAGUAACUAUGCACGUCUUGACGGUACCUAAUCAGAAAGCCACGGCUAACUACGUG
rnacentral:rRNA from 1 species